rnacentral:tRNA from 1 species
AAGAUUUGGAUUAAUGUUAUAUUUUAUAUUUCGAUUGUAAAGCAGGGUAUGAAAAAUGUUGCAGCUGGUGCCAAUCCAAUGAUUCUUA